rnacentral:rRNA from 1 species
GAUGAACGCUGGCGGCGUGCCUAAUACAUGCAAGUCGAGCGAACGGACGAGAAGCUUGCUUCUCUGAUGUUAGCGGCGGACGGGUGAGUAACACGUGGAUAACCUACCUAUAAGACUGGGAUAACUUCGGGAAACCGUAGCUAAUACCGGAUAAUAUUUUGAACCGCAUGGUUCAAAAGUGAAAGACGGUCUUGCUGUCACUUAUAGAUGGAUCCGCGCUGCAUUAGCUAGUUGGUAAGGUAACGGCUUACCAAGGCAACGAUGCAUAGCCGACCUGAGAGGGUGAUCGGCCACACUGGAACUGAGACACGGUCCAGACUCCUACGGGAGGCAGCAGUAGGGAAUCUUCCGCAAUGGGCGAAGGCCUGACGGAGCAACGCCGCGUGAGUGAUGAAGGUCUUCGGAUCGUAAAACUCUGUUAUUAGGGAAGAACAUAUGUGUAAGUAACUGUGCACAUCUUGACGGUACCUAAUCAGAAAGCCACGGCUAACUACGUGCCAGCAGCCGCGGUAAUACGUAGGUGGCAAGCGUUAUCCGGAAUUAUUGGGCGUAAAGCGCGCGUAGGCGGUUUUUUAAGUCUGAUGUGAAAGCCCACGGCCCAACCGUGGAGGGUCAUUGGAAACUGGAAAACUUGAGUGCAGAAGAGGAAAGUGGAAUUCCAUGUGUAGCGGUGAAAUGCGCAGAGAUAUGGAGGAACACCAGUGGCGAAGGCGACUUUCUGGUCUGUAACUGACGCUGAUGUGCGAAAGCGUGGGGAUCAAACAGGAUUAGAUACCCUGGUAGUCCACGCCGUAAACGAUGAGUGCUAAGUGUUAGGGGGUUUCCGCCCCUUAGUGCUGCAGCUAACGCAUUAAGCACUCCGCCUGGGGAGUACGACCGCAAGGUUGAAACUCAAAGGAAUUGACGGGGACCCGCACAAGCGGUGGAGCAUGUGGUUUAAUUCGAAGCAACGCGAAGAACCUUACCAAAUCUUGACAUCCUUUGACAACUCUAGAGAUAGAGCCUUCCCCUUCGGGGGACAAAGUGACAGGUGGUGCAUGGUUGUCGUCAGCUCGUGUCGUGAGAUGUUGGGUUAAGUCCCGCAACGAGCGCAACCCUUAAGCUUAGUUGCCAUCAUUAAGUUGGGCACUCUAAGUUGACUGCCGGUGACAAACCGGAGGAAGGUGGGGAUGACGUCAAAUCAUCAUGCCCCUUAUGAUUUGGGCUACACACGUGCUACAAUGGACAAUACAAAGGGCAGCGAAACCGCGAGGUCAAGCAAAUCCCAUAAAGUUGUUCUCAGUUCGGAUUGUAGUCUGCAACUCGACUACAUGAAGCUGGAAUCGCUAGUAAUCGUAGAUCAGCAUGCUACGGUGAAUACGUUCCCGGGUCU